CAGUCGAACGGUAACAGGAAGAAGCUUGCUUCUUUGCUGACGAGUGGCGGACGCGUUAGUAAUGCUUGGGUAUCUGGCUUAUGGAGGGGGAUAACUACGGGAAACUGUAGCUAAUACCGCGUAGUAUCGGAAGAUGAAAGUGUGGGACCGUAAGGCCACAUGCCAUAGGAUGAGCCCAAGUGGGAUUAGGUAGUUGGUGAGGUAAUGGCUCACCAAGCCGACGAUCUCUAGCUGGUCUGAGAGGAUGACCAGCCACACCGGGACUGAGACACGGCCCGGACUCCUACGGGAGGCAGCAGUGGGGAAUAUUGCGCAAUGGGGGCAACCCUGACGCAGCCAUGCCGCGUGAAUGAAGAAGGCCUUCGGGUUGUAAAGUUCUUUCGGUAGCGAGGAAGGCAUUUAGUUUAAUAGACUAGAUGAUUGACGUUAACUACAGAAGAAGCACCGGCUAACUCCGUGCCAGCAGCCGCGGUAAUACGGAGGGUGCGAGCGUUAAUCGGAAUAACUGGGCGUAAAGGGCACGCAGGCGGACUUUUAAGUGAGGUGUGAAAGCCCCGGGCUUAACCUGGGAAUUGCAUUUCAGACUGGGAGUCUAGAGUACUUUAGGGAGGGGUAGAAUUCCACGUGUAGCGGUGAAAUGCGUAGAGAUGUGGAGGAAUACCGAAGGCGAAGGCAGCCCCUUGGGAAUGUACUGACGCUCAUGUGCGAAAGCGUGGGGAGCAAACAGGAUUAGAUACCCUG
rnacentral:rRNA from 1 species